UAUAUAUAAAUAAAGGUUGCUCACAUGUAAUCUGGUAGUAGAUCAAUUUUUCUUGACAAGUUUACUUCAACAUUUCGUACUCGCAGGGAAGAAAACUCAGGCUUUGAACAAUUGGGUUAGGAUUCAUCAGGACCAAGAAAAUUUGUUUCUUUUUUCGAGUUUUUGGAACUUUGAGUUCUUAUAAAACCAUUCUUCAUCAAAUCGGUUUCAUUGUUUUAUUGGGUUGGGACUCAAACGGAGAGAGAACCAUGCCUCCUCAGUCUUCAGGUUUACUUGGAACUUUGGAAAUUUUGAUGGCAUGAGUGGAGUCGGGAAAAAAAUAAAUUAAGUAUUCAUGGGUUGGUUAUGAUGGUGAUCAAGCAUCUUAACAAUCAAAGUGAAUUGGUGAAUGUCAAAGCAGACCAUGAAAAACUACGUGAAGAUUAUGACAAACUUUCGGCUGAAAAUGAAGAAUUGAAGAAGUAGCUAAAUAACUCAAAGUGAAAAAUCAACUGUACCAAUUCAUACGAAGCAACCAUGAACUGUGAUAUGCCAACGUUUUGUCAUCUUCUUCCAAUUAAUGAUAAUGUUCAUUAUUGGUAUAAGUUUGCAUCGGAGCACAAAAGCUCCCAUUUGCUUAGCAUAUUGGGGAAGGCCCAUGUAGGGGAUGAUCAAAUAAUACUAUUUUCUCAACCCGUGGACCAAAACUUUGAAGAUUGGAUGCAACACAAUCUUCUCAUCAACCUCGACAAUCAUUUGACACCUUCUUUUAGGGCCUUUUUAUUGGGUAUGUUGAAAGGGAUAAAUUACCUUCAUAGUAAACUAAAGCAUGCACAUGGCGAAAUAUGCGGAGAAAACAUUUAUGUCAUUGAUGGGAGGGCAAAAUUUGUUGAUGUGGUGGAUAUUAAUUUAAAAAAAUCUUAUGUUGAUGAUAUCAAUCGCUUUUGCAAAAUGGUAGAAUCACCAUUCAAGGCCAAAAACAUCCCGCUUCCAUUAGAGUUAGAGUAUCUUCUUUCAAGCUUGAAAAAACUAAAUGGGUGUUGGUGAUAUGCCUCUGCAAAGGCAAUAGUUUGGGAAAAAUCGGAGCUGAAGGCUUCUUUUUUGUGUAUUAUGUCAUUGUUUUAAUUCAAGCUAAGGGCUUUACAUGUAUUGUAUUUAUAUUCGCUUUUGUUGCAACCAAUCAUGGUCUUGGAAAGAUGUAAGCCUAUAGGAUAUUUAUUUUUGUUAAACCUUUUUGUACCAUUAGCUCUCACGAAAUGAAAGAAUAUUAUACUCUGAUUCAUAUUGUUA